rfam:Myotis brandtii contig167169, whole genome shotgun sequence.
GGCAGUUUUCGGGUGACACACCUCGGAAUCGGGUUCCCUCCUCUCUGGUUCCGGGUGCGCCACCGGAGAACCACA